rnacentral:misc_RNA from 1 species
GUAUUGAUUGCGUGUGAUCGCAAAAGUAAGACAUUCUACACAUUUCAUUAAAAGGGUGUCUAUGUAAAAACGUGAGCACCCCCCUCCGAGGAAGGGGGGACACACGCGGUGAUGCACAAAGGGGUGAGAUGGAUAUUUGUAUGUGAGAGCACUCGGGCGUGCACGACAAAAAGUCAGCGACAACCCGGGUACCCCCAUUGUACGAUAAUGAUCCUUCCGCAGGUUCACCUACGGAAA